rnacentral:rRNA from 1 species
CUGGCUCAGGAUGAACGCUGGCGGCGUGCUUAACACAUGCAAGUCGAACGAAGUCUCGGACUUAGUGGCGGACGGGUGAGUAACGCGUGAGAAUCUACCUUCAGGUCUGGGACAACAGUUGGAAACGACUGCUAAUACCGGAUGUGCCCUUGGGUGAAAGGCUUGCUGCCUGAAGAGAGCUCGCGUCUGAUUAGCUAGUUGGUGGGGUAAGAGCUUACCAAGGCGACGAUCAGUAGCUGGUCUGAGAGGAUGAUCAGCCACACUGGGACUGAGACACGGCCCAGACUCCUACGGGAGGCAGCAGUGGGGAAUUUUCCGCAAUGGGCGAAAGCCUGACGGAAGCAACGCCGCGUGAGGGAGGAAGGCUUUUGGGUUGUAAACCUCUUUUGUCAGGGAAGAAGCUCUGACGGUACCUGACGAAUCAGCAUCGGCUAACUCCGUGCCAGCCGCAGC